rnacentral:rRNA from 1 species
GACGAACGCUGGCGGCGUGCUUAACACAUGCAAGUCGAACGGUGAAGCGAGUGCUUGCACUCGUGGAUCAGUGGCGAACGGGUGAGUAACACGUGAGUAACCUGCCCAUCACUCUGGGAUAAGCACUGGAAACGGUGUCUAAUACUGGAUACGACCAACCCUUGCAUGGGGUGUUGGUGGAAAGAUUUAUCGGUGAUGGAUGGACUCGCGGCCUAUCAGCUUGUUGGCGGGGUAAUGGCCCACCAAGGCGACGACGGGUAGCCGGCCUGAGAGGGUGACCGGCCACACUGGGACUGAGACACGGCCCAGACUCCUACGGGAGGCAGCAGUGGGGAAUAUUGCACAAUGGGCGAAAGCCUGAUGCAGCGACGCCGCGUGAGGGAUGACGGCCUUCGGGUUGUAAACCUCUUUCAGCAGGGAAGAAGCGAAAGUGACGGUACCUGCAGAAGAAGCACCGGCUAGCUACGUG